AAAAUACAUCCAGGACAACUUAAAGAUGAUGUAGCGUCACCAGCAGGAUCUACUAUAACUGGAAUACAUUAUUUAGAACAACAUGGAUUGAGAUCAGCUGUAAUUGGAGCAGUUGAAGCAGCAACGAAGAGAUGUAAAGAAGUUAGUUCACUUUCAGAGAAAAAUUAGAUUCAUUGAACGGUAAAGAAAUAGAUGUAGUUGAUGAAGAAACUAAGAAACAAGGAAAGUAUUCUAGUAAUCCUUAAUGUCAUAGAAAAGAAAGUAAAUCAUAGUAAU